rnacentral:rRNA from 1 species
UACGUAGGGUGCAAGCGUUAAUCGGAAUUACUGGGCGUAAAGCGUGCGCAGGCGGUUAUGUAAGACAGGUGUGAAAUCCCCGGGCUUAACCUGGGAACUGCAUUUGUGACUGCAUAGCUAGAGUACGGUAGAGGGGGAUGGAAUUCCGCGUGUAGCAGUGAAAUGCGUAGAUAUGCGGAGGAACACCGAUGGCGAAGGCAAUCCCCUGGACCUGUACUGACGCUCAUGCGACGAAAGCGUGGGGAGCAAACAGG